rnacentral:rRNA from 1 species
UGAAAGGCCAAUCAAACCUGGACAUAGCUGGUUCUCCGCGAAAACUAUUUAGGUAGUGCGUCAGACGAAUUCCUUAGGGGGUAGAGCACUGGAUGGAUGCGGGCGGCGCGAGCUGUACCAAUUCUAACCAAACUCCGAAUACCUAAGAGAACUAUCUGGCAGACACACGGCGGGUGCUAACGUCCGUCGUGAAAAGGGAAACAACCCUAACCAUCAUCUAAGGCCCCCAAGUAACGGCUAAGUGGGAAACGAUGUGGGAUUGCUUUGACAACCAGGAUGUUGGCUUAGAAGCAGCCAUCAUUUAAAGAAAGCGUAACAGCUCACUGGUCAAGCGAUCCUGCGCGGAAAAUGUAACGGGGCUAAAGCCGUUCGCCGAAGGUAUGGGUGUGCGCAAGCACGCGGUAGCGGAGCGUUCCGUAAGCCUGUGAAGGCAAGGCGUGAGCCUUGCUGGAGGUAUCGGAAGUGAGAAUGCUGACAUGAGUAGCG